UUUGACCGAGACUCCGAGUGUUAAGAGUUAGUUAGGGCACAAAUGGGAAGCAACCUUCGUCUGCAAGAAGGAUGGCCGAUCAUUCAGAAUGAGAUGUCAAAGCUGAUUAAUACUCUUGAAGGUGUUCCUGAUUCACCAAACUACGGUUCAAUCUACUCAACAGUUUACACUAUGUGCAAACAGAGCCCUCCUUUUGAUGAAUGCAAAGGGCUUUACAGUAGAUACGAAGGUGUUUAUGAGGAAUACUUGAAAUCAAAAGUUUUACCAGCCAUUCAAGAGAAGAAGAAUGAUGAUGUGUCUAUGUUGCAAGAAUUUGUCAAGAGGUGGGCUAAUCAUAAGGUUAUGGUAACUAAGCUUUCUCGCUAUUUCAAUUAUCUUGAUCGCUAUUAUAUUCCUCGAAUGAGACUUCCUUCUUUGAAAGAUAUUGGGUUUGGUUGCUUUCGUAAAAUUGUGUAUCGGAAGAUGAAACUGAAAGUUAGGGAUGCUGUUAUUGCAUUGAUUAAUCAAUAACGAGACGGAAAUGAAAUUGAUAGGACUUUGGUCAAGGAUGUCUUGGAGGUGUUUGUUGAAAUUGGGAAUGAGAAUGUACUGAGGAGAAGUUGUUGAAACAAGUUCCAAGUCAGGUGCUGCCUGAAAGCUCCCAACAAAUUCUUGAAAAGGAGGUGCAAUCUGACGCUAGUGAUAGCGAUUUAACCUGGUGAUCUCUGGAGGAUGUACUGACUGAUCUAAUAUUUAGAAGAUGCAAAGGUAAGUAACAAUGAUGUAUAGGGAGGCAUUUUAGAUGACUAUGAAUAACUGCUGUUUAUUGUCGUUAAUUAGUCAACAUGGAUCAUUGGUUUUGAUGUUACGGUUAAGAGUUUUUUUAUGAAUGUUGUCUUGUUUA